rnacentral:rRNA from 1 species
AGAGUUUGAUCCUGGCUCAGGAUGAACGCUAGCUACAGGCUUAACACAUGCAAGUCGAGGGGAAACGACAUCGAAAGCUUGCUUUUGAUGGGCGUCGACCGGCGCACGGGUGAGUAACGCGGAUCCAACCUGCCCACCACUUGGGGAUAACCUUGCGAAAGUAAGACUAAUACCCAAUGAUAUCUCUAGAAGACAUCUGAAAGAGAUUAAAGAUUUAUCGGUGAUGGAUGGGGAUGCGUCUGAUUAGCUUGGUUGGCGGGGUAACGGCCACCAAGGCGACGAUCAGUAGGGGUUCUGAGAGGAACGGUCCCCCANAUUGGAACUGAGACACGGUCCAAACUCCUACGGGAGGCA